rnacentral:rRNA from 1 species
AUUGAACGCUGGCGGCAAGCCUAACACAUGCAAGUCGAACGAGUGGCGGACGGGUGAGUAAUGUCUGGGAAACUGCCUGAUGGAGGGGGAUAACUACUGGAAAAGGUAGCUAAUAACGCAUACCAUCGGAUGUGCCCAGAUGGGAUUAGCUAGUAGGUGGGGUAAAGGCUCACCUAGGCGACGAUCCCCAGCUGGUCUGAGAGGAUGAACAGCCACACGGGAACGGAGACACGGUCCAGAAUCCUAAGGGAGGCAGCAGUGGGGAAUAGUGCACAAGGGGCGCAAGCCUGAUGCAGCCAUGCCGCGUGUAUGAAGAAGGCCUUCGGGUUGUAAAGUACGUUCAGCGGGGAGGAGUAGCACGCAGAAGAAGCACCGGCUGAGUCCGUGCCAGCAGCCGCGGUAAUAC